rnacentral:tRNA from 1 species
GUAAAUAUAGUUUAACCAAAAAUGUCAGAUUGUGAUUCUGAAGACAAGGGUUAAAACCCCUUUAUUCACC